GACUCUCGGCAACGGAUAUCUCGGCUCUCGCAUCGAUGAAGAACGUAGCGAAAUGCGAUACUUGGUGUGAAUUGCAGAAUCCCGUGAACCAUCGAGUUUUUGAACGCAAGCUAGGCCGAGGGCACGUCUGCCUGGGUGUCA
rnacentral:rRNA from 1 species